GUCAGACCUUCGUACAAAGGCUUGUAUCUCGGCAGCGCAUUGGCCGAGCAGGGUGAUUGACACGUCUAUAGAACCGUCGGAGCCAGUAGAAUCGACGGACAGCAUCAAAACCCCUCCCACGGACACCAUUCGCUCACUGUGACAGGGCGAACCCACUGUGACGCCUUUUACCCCCGACGCCAUUUGACACGCUACUUCCGCCUGUGUAGUUGUAAAUAGGACGGACCAGGCGGAUUAAUAUCUUGAAACGACAAGCGGUCUUUGUGCUAAGCUAACGGAAAAGGAUUUAUGGAUCGAAACACAAACUUUUCCUGCAAAAAUGUGGAAGUGGCAAGAAUUAUGUGUCCCCGGCCGGGCUGCCUCCUCCACACUCUCGGCUCCUUGCAGAUCAUGUCUCGCUCUUCAGAUUGCAGAAAGAUGAGGGUUCUUCACUUCUCCUCUUCCUCCUGUAGGCCCUCAAGCCCGUCGUCUCCCAUAUGCCUUUGGAGAUAAACCAAUAAAAAAGGAGCAAUUACAAUUCCCCGCGUGCAUUUGCCUUCGUGUGCGUGUAAAUAUGAACUAAAACGAAAACCAGACAUGGAGACAAACGAGAGAUACUGUAAAUCAAGAUUCAUGCUGUUGUCUAUACUGUAUAUGUGAUUUUUUUCCCCCCUAAUAUUACCUUAUCAGUGCCAAUUUGUAUGUGUCCACUUCUGUGUUACAUAACCUCUAACACACACACACACACACACACACACACUGGUGACACAGCUCUCUGUAUAUCCACUCAUCAUUUGUCUUUUCCUGUCACGUCACAUCAUAUAUCAAAUAUCGAAUCGAUUAACUCUCAGAUCUACAGUUUAGUUUAUAAAAAUUCACAAAAUUAAAUGCGCCAUCACCAGAUGUAUGUUUAUUUAUAGUCAACAAACCCAAUUUGCUUCAAAUUCGUGAGGCUAUUGUUUGGAAUCACAUGGAGUUUGCCCAUGUGAAAUGUGUGCAAUACAAAUGGAUGGAAAUCUUACA
rnacentral:lncRNA from 1 species